rnacentral:rRNA from 1 species
GCGAACGGGUGAGUAACACGUGAGCAACCUGCCCCCGACUCCGGGAUAAGCGGUGGAAACGCCGUCUAAUACCGGAUACGACCGGCCACCUCAUGGUGGCGGGUGGAAAGUUUCUCGGUUGGGGAUGGGCUCGCGGCCUAUCAGCUAGUUGGUGGGGUAAAGGCCUACCAAGGCGAUUACGGGUAGCCGGCCUGAGAGGGCGACCGGCCACACUGGGACUGAGACACGGCCCAGACUCCUGCGGGAGGCAGCAGUGGGGAAUAUUGCGCAAUGGGCGAAAGCCUGACGCAGCGACGCCGCGUGGGGGAUGACGGCCUUCGGGUUGUAAACCUCUUUUACCACCAACGCAGGCUCCCAGUUCUCUGGGGGUUGACGGUAGGUGGGGAAUAAGGACCGGCUAACUACGUGCCAGCAGCCGCGGUAAUACGUAGGGUCCGAGCGUUGUCCGGAAUUAUUGGGCGUAAAGAGCUCGUAGGCGGCGUGUCGCGUCUGCUGUGAAAGACCGGGGCUUAACUCCGGUUCUGCAGUGGAUACGGGCAUGCUAGAGGUAGGUAGGGGAGACUGGAAUUCCUGGUGUAGCGGUGAAAUGCGCAGAUAUCAGGAGGAACACCGGUGGCGAAGGCGGGUCUCUGGGCCUUACCUGACGCUGAGGAGCGAAAGCAUGGGGAGCGAACAGGAUUAGAUACCCUGGUAGUCCAUGCCGUAAACGUUGGGCGCUAGGUGUGGGGACUUUCCACGGUUUCCGCGCCGUAGCUAACGCAUUAAGCGCCCCGCCUGGGGAGUACGGCCGCAAGGCUAAAACUCAAAGGAAUUGACGGGGGCCCGCACAAGCGGCGGAGCAUGUUGCUUAAUUCGACGCAACGCGAAGAACCUUACCAAGGUUUGACAUCACCCGUGGACCUGCAGAGAUGUGGGGUCAUUUAGUUGGUGGGUGACAGGUGGUGCAUGGCUGUCGUCAGCUCGUGUCGUGAGAUGUUGGGUUAAGUCCCGCAACGAGCGCAACCCUUAUUCCAUGUUGCCAGCACGUAAUGGUGGGGACUCAUGGGAGACUGCCGGGGUCAACUCGGAGGAAGGUGGGGACGACGUCAAGUCAUCAUGCCCCUUAUGUCUUGGGCUGCAAACAUGCUACAAUGGCCGGUACAAUGGGCGUGCGAUACCGUAAGGUGGAGCGAAUCCCUAAAAGCCGGUCUCAGUUCGGAUUGGGGUCUGCAACUCGACCCCAUGAAGGUGGAGUCGCUAGUAAUCGCGGAUCAGCAACGCCGCGGUGAAUACGUUCCCGGGCCUUGUACACACCGCCCGUCACGUCAUGAAAGUCGGCAACACCC